AAGUCAGGUAGAGCUACGUAACGUCAAAGACAGGUAGAGCUACGUUAAAGUCAGGUAGAGCUACGUAACGUUAAAGACAGGUAGAGCUACGUUAAAGUCAGGUAGAGCUACGUAACGUUAAAGACAGGUAGAGCAACGUUAAAGACAGGUAGAGCAACGUUAAAGACAGGUAGAGCAACGUUAAAGACAGGUAGAGCAACGUUAAAGACAGGUAGAGCAACGUUAAAGACAGGUAGAGCAAAGACAGGUAGAGCAACGUUAAAGACAGGUAGAGCUACGUAACGUUAAAGACAGGUAGAGCUACAUUAAAGACAGGUAGAGCUACGUAACGUUAAAGACAGGUAGAGCAGCGUAACCGGUAGAGCUACGUAACGUUAAAGUCAGGUAGAGCUACGUGACGUUAAAGACAGGCAGAGCUACGUAACGUUAAAGUCAGGUAGAGCUACGUAACGUCAAAGACAGGUAGAGCUACGUAACGUCAAAGACAGGUAGAGCUACGUGACGUUAAAGACAGGCAGAGCUACGUAACGUUAAAGUCAGGUAGAGCUACGUUAAAGUCAGGUAGAGCUACGUAACGUCAAAGACAGGUAGAGCUACGUAACGUCAAAGACAGGUAGAGCUACGUGACGUUAAAGACAGGCAGAGCUACGUAACGUUAAAGUCAGGUAGAGCUACGUUAAAGUCAGGUAGAGCUAUGUAACGUUAAAGUCAGGUAGAGCUACGUAACGUUAAAGUCAGGUAGAGCUACGUAACGUUAAAGACAGGUAGAGCUACGUAACGUUAAAGACAGGUAGAGCAACGUUAAAGACAGGUAGAGCAACGUUAAAGACAGGUAGAGCAACGUUAAAGACAGUUAGAGCUACGUAACGUUAAAGACAGGUAGAGCUACGUAACGUUAAAGACAGGUAGAGCUACAUUAAAGACAGGUAGAGCUACGUAACGUUAAAGACAGGUAGAGCUACGUUAAAGUCAGGUAGAGCUACGUAACGUUAAAGACAGGUAGAGCAACGUUAAAGACAGGUAGAGCAAAGACAGGUAGAGCAACGUUAAAGACAGGUAGAGCUACGUAACGUUAAAGACAGGUAGAGCAGCGUAACCGGUAGAGCUACGUAACGUUAAAGUCAGGUAGAGCUACGUGACGUUAAAGACAGGCAGAGCUACGUAACGUUAAAGUCAGGUAGAGCUACGUUAAAGUCAGGUAGAGCUAUGUAACGUUAAAGUCAGGUAGAGCUACGUAACGUUAAAGUCAGGUAGAGCUACGUAACGUCAAAGACAGGUAGAGCUACGUGACGUUGAAGACAGGCAGAGCUACGUAACGUUAAAGUCAGGUAGAGCUACGUUAAAGUCAGGUAGAGCUACGUAACGUCAAAGACAGGUAGAGCUACGUAACGUCAAAGACAGGUAGAGCUACGUGACGUUAAAGACAGGCAGAGCUACGUAACGUUAAAGUCAGGUAGAGCUACGUUAAAGUCAGGUAGAGCUAUGUAACG